rnacentral:sRNA from 1 species
GGAGGGCGCGGGCCGACCGGGCGCACCGACCAUGGCCUCCAAAUGCCCCAAGUGCGACAAGACCGUGUACUUCGCCGAGAAGGUGAGCUCCCUGGGGAAGGACUGGCACAAGUUCUGCCUCAAGUGCGAGCGCUGCAGCAAGACGCUGACGCCCGGGGGCCACGCCGAGCAUGACGGGAAGCCGUUCUGCCACAAGCCGUGCUACGCCACCCUGUUCGGACCCAAAGGCGUGAACAUCGGGGGCGCGGGCUCCUACAUCUACGAGAAGCCCCUGGCGGAGGGGCCGCAGGUCACCGGCCCCAUCGAGGUCCCCGCGGCCCGAGCAGAGGAGCGGAAGGCGAGCGGCCCCCCGAAGGGGCCCAGCAGAGCCUCCAGUGUCACCACUUUCACCGGGGAGCCCAACACGUGCCCGCGCUGCAGCAAGAAGGUGUACUUCGGUGAGUGCGCGCCCGGGCCCCGGACCCCCGCCCCCGCCCCUGCCCCGGGGCUCGGCCUCACUCCUCCCCCUUUCCAGCUGAGAAGGUGACGUCUCUGGGCAAGGAUUGGCACCGGCCCUGCCUGCGCUGCGAGCGCUGCGGGAAGACACUGACCCCCGGCGGGCACGCGGAGGUGAGGGGAGUGCAACGGGGCUUGGGGCCGGGCAGGGGCGCGGGGUGGGGGCGAUGAGGGUGAGAGGCGCGCCUAGAGGGGAUGGGGGGUGGUGCUUCUGGGAGCUGCGCUGCCCUCUCCCCCACGGCGAGCCGGCCUGCACGUUCUGGAAGCCUCCAGGUGAUGGGUUGGGGGAGUCUGUGGACUUCUCUCUCAGCACCCACCUUCUGCCCCAGCACGACGGCCAGCCCUACUGCCACAAGCCCUGCUAUGGAAUCCUCUUCGGACCCAAGGGAGUGAACACCGGCGCGGUGGGCAGCUACAUCUAUGACCGGGACCCCGAAGGCAAGGUCCAGCCCUAGGCUACAGCGGCUCUCGUGAUGUGGGCUCACCUGCGCCCCAGACCCUGCAGGGGCUCCCCUGCUUGGCUCUGCUGGGAGAGUGCUCAGCCGCCUAGUCCUGCCUGCAAGCCCAGGGCGAGUAUUGGAGGAGGGGCAGCCACGGGCAGAGCGCCAUGCCCAUCCCCGAGUCUCUGGUGUGUCUGCCCCCUCUGGCAUCCUCUGGGCGUCCCAUGAUCCCUUCUGUGUCUGCGUGUCCGAAUCCCCGUGUGACCCUGUCCCAGCAUUUUCCCGCCGACCCUGCGUGUCCCCGUGGCGCUGUCCGCUCUCCCUCUCCUGCUGCCCACCCACCUGCCAGUGUUAUUUAUGCUCCCUUCGUGGGUGAUGGCCACGCCCUCACCAUGUCCCUGGCAGAGGGCUUUCCUCCGGGAUCCCCUGCCUGGUGCCCACACUGCCUCGCAAGCGCUCGCCACCCUCACGUGGCUCACCUGCUGUUGAGCCUUGUGCUGUCAAUAAACGGUUU